rnacentral:rRNA from 1 species
GAUGAACGCUGGCGGCGUGCCUAAUACAUGCAAGUCGAGCGAGCAGACGAGGAGCUUGCUCCUCUGACGUUAGCGGCGGACGGGUGAGUAACACGUGGAUAACCUACCUAUAAGACUGGGAUAACUUCGGGAAACCGGAGCUAAUACCGGAUAAUAUAUUGAACCGCAUGGUUCAAUAGUGAAAGACGGUUUUGCUGUCACUUAUCGAUGGAUCCGCGCCGCAUUAGCUAGUUGGUAAGGUAACGGCUUACCAAGGCAACGAUGCGUAGCCGACCUGAGAGGGUGAUCGGCCACACUGGAACUGAGACACGGUCAAGACUCCUACGGGAGGCAGCAGUAGGGAAUCUUCCGCAAUGGGCGAAAGCCUGACGGAGCAACGCCGCGUGAGUGAUGAAGGUCUUCGGAUCGUAAAACUCUGUUAUUAGGGAAGAACAAAUGUGUAAGUAACUAUGCACGUCUUGACGGUACCUAAUCAGAAAGCCACGGCUAACUACGUG